GGGGGUGCCCUGGUUUCGACGAGAUAGCAGACGGGUUUCCGGGCGUGUCCAGGUUGGUCUCCAAGGUCCUGGUUAAAAGGAGUCCAAAUCUUAAUUGCAGAUGAUUUCGCAAUGCCAAUGGCUGCCUAAUAAUUUAGGAAUAGUCUUGUGAGGCGCUACUGCCAAGAAACAGAAUGUAGCAACGCAGUUUGAGUAGGCUGUUUAACUCUGCUCUGAGGUUGUCGGUUCACCUCGUAAUAACACACCGAGGUUCGUUAGGUUCACGUAACCUAAACAGCCUUGUCUUCUGGCGAUAAAUGAAGACUACACACGUAGGCCGCACUUCAGACGUUGUUUCGGACGUGGGUUCGAUUCCCACCACCUCCACCA
rnacentral:tmRNA from 2 species